GGGAAGGUGGCUCAGUGGUAGAGUGCUUGCCUUGCAUGCAUGAGGCCUUGGGUUAGACUCCUCAGCAUCAUA
rnacentral:tRNA from 1 species